rnacentral:rRNA from 1 species
GAUGAACGCUGGCGGCGUGCCUAAUACAUGCAAGUCGAGCGAACAGAUGAGGAGCUUGCUCCUCUGACGUUAGCGGCGGACGGGUGAGUCACACGUGGAUAACCUACCUAUAAGACUGGGAUAACUUCGGGAAACCGGCGCUAAUAGCGGAUAAUAUCCUGAACCGCAUGGUUCAAUAGUGAAAGUCGGUUUUGCUGUCACUUCUAGAUGGAUCCGCGCCGCAUUAGCUAGUUGGUAAGGUAACGGCUUAUCAAGGCAACGAUGCGUAGCCGACCUGAGAGGGUGAUCGGCCGCACUGGAACUGAGACACGGUCCAGACUCCUACGGGAGGCAGCAGUAGGGAAUCUUCCGCAAUGGGCGAAAGCCUGACGGAGCAACGCCGCGUGAGUGAUGAAGGUCUUCGGAUCGUAAAACUCUGUUAUUAGGGAAGAACAAAUGUGUAAGUAACUAUGCACGUCUUGACGGUACCUAAUCAGAAAGCCACGGCUAACUACGUG